rnacentral:hammerhead_ribozyme from 15 species
AAGGCGUAUAAGGUAGGCUCCCACUACAAUACCUUACUGAUGAGUCCAGUAGUGGAGGCCGGGACGAAACGCCAA